ACGUAGGUGGCAAGCGUUGUCCGGAUUUAUUGGGUUUAAAGGGUGCGUAGGCGGCCCUGUAAGUCAGUGGUGAAAUACUCCAGCUCAACUGGAGAGGUGCCAUUGAUACUGCAGGGCUUGAGUGUGGUCGAGGCGGAUGGAAUUGACGGUGUAGCGGUGAAAUGCUUAGAUAUCGUCAAGAACACCGAUAGCGAAGGCAGUUCGCUAGGCCACAACUGACGCUGAGGCACGAAAGUGCGGGGAUCAAACAGGAUUAGAUACCCUGGUAGUCCGCACAGUAAACGAUGGUCACUCGGUGUUGGCGAUACACAGCCAGCGCCUUAGCGAAAGCGUUAAGUGACCCACCUGGGGAGUACGCCCGCAAGGGUG
rnacentral:rRNA from 1 species